AUGAGGAGUAUUGCUGGGCCAGAGAUAACAUGUGGGAACGUGCAAGGUCAGCCCGUGUUUAGAUCAGAAGCCCCAAUUCUCCCUUUGAUUCCAGGAUGCGCAGCAACUGGCAGGAAAGCCGCCAUCUCUGCUCCACUAGGCUCCUUCUUCUCCUAUACGUGGGAUGCCUCCAAACGCACUAUUAGGACUUUCCGGAGCCUUAGGCCUGUGUGCCAAAUCUGCAUCCAUGAGACUUGGCGUGUCCAGAUUGUACUACCUCUUGUGGUGAUGAAGAUACCAGAUCCCUACUCAGUCUGGAGGAAUGUGGGUCCAAGAUAAAUGAACUCACCUACUUUAGAAAAGAAAAUCCAACAUGAGAAUGGUAACACCCCACAGAAGGCAACUCAUUCUGCACUUUGCCAAUAUAGCCAGUGGGAACCUAGAGUCUUUUCCAUCAUGUGUGGAGUUGUGGUUGGUUUUUUUUUUUCCUCUUUCCUUUUAGUUUCCUAAAUAUAGAAUUAAUGGGUUUUAGAGAAAGCCAGUGAUUGCGUUUGCUUGAGUCUAGAGAGUGGAAAGAAAAUAUCCCUUUCUCUGCAGGUUUCAAAAUUC
rnacentral:lncRNA from 1 species